CAUCUAAAACGCACCUCAGUCGCGUAUAGUCCAAGCUUGUAAGGAGACGUACACAUAUAGUGCGUGCCUUAAAAACAAGUUUGUUGAAGUAUACAUGAAGUAAAUGGAUAUAUUGUCAACUCAUUGCGUGUGGAAAUUGAAGCAUCUAUCUAUAUUAUUAACUCAUAUAUACAAUUGAAAAAGAAGGCAAUUAAUAACUCACACUGCCUGCCUUCUCCUUGGGUUAUCUUCAUCAUCCGAGGGUAGAAAAUGGUUUAUAAACAUAAUCAAUCUAUGGACUUCACAACCAGUAGAACUCUGAGAACAAAUAGAAAGCGAGAAGGAUUUCAACUUUUGGGCCUAGGAUCACUUAUCAUUAUGGACCGUCUAUCGGACACAUCAGAAAUCAGGAGAGAUACAAAAGAGGUUGAUAGCAAGCUUGGUGUGUUUUGCAAAUUUAAAUUAUUUAUCCACCAAAACUUGUAACUUGCUACAUUUAACUCUUGUAAUAAAUGAUCAAUCGUCAGUU